rnacentral:lncRNA from 1 species
AUGGGGGGCGUCCCACGCUCACAGGCCCAAGGCACAGAGCAGGUCAGGUUGCUGGGGGAGCCAGACUCCAGGGCCCCUAGGAUGAGGAUGUCGGGGGUAUGGUUCAGGGCUGGAGAGAAGAAGGGACAAGGGAUCAGGACAGACGGUCCAAGGUGCAGCCCUGAGAGAAGCUCCAGCUCUGACCCACUCCUCGGUGAGCUCUCAGUACUCGACCCUCAACUCCUCCCUCCAACCCAUCUCAGCUCUGCCCUGUGGCCACCGUUACCUUCCCUAGUGGUCAGUGUGGAGCUAGAGUCUUACCUGUGACAUACACAGUGACCCGGUUCCAAUAGAAAUUCCUCCUGAAACUUGCUGAGCUCAUCUGAAAGAAGUAUGAACCACUGUCGCCCCGCUGUGCGUCCCUGAUGAGCAGGGAGCAGUUCCUGGUCUGUGUGUCCCAGAGGAGGGGGAAGCGGCCCCGAGUCUCCCUCUGCACUUGCUGUUGUGGGUUGUUUGUGGCUACUGGAGAGUCAGGGAGAAGGUCAGACCCCUCCCGGAAGCAGGAGCCAGAGACGGGGCGUGGCGUGAAGGAAAAGUGGUGGUAGGAGAAUUGGCAGGCACGAGGAUGCACAGACAUUCCUGCACUGACACCGACUUUGGCAUGCUCAGCCUGUAUCUUGGGUACUGAGCCAGAGACCCUGUGGGGGAAACAAGAUUCAGCUCUGUACAGAAGCCCCCAGACCCUCUCCCUGUGCCCACUCACCCGCCCACAGCAGAGGCAGCAGCAGAGGCAGCAACAUGUCGGACGUGGAGGAUCCUGGGCUCCUGUGGGUGAGCGCAGAAGGGAGGAGUAGGGGUGGGAAGCACUGUGGGACCCGGGGAAGCUAGGAAAGGCAAGAGACCUCAGUAUCUCAAGG